rnacentral:piRNA from 1 species
UGAUCUUGUACAAAGUGUUUC